AUUUGUCCCCAAAAUGCGCUUCCCUGUUAGAGGGACAGGCGCGGCUUGGAAGCUCCGGGAUUGCGCUUGGUUCGCCUCCGCCGGGAAAAUGACAGAGACCACGCGUUGCUGUCAGUGAAAACAAACAGAUCCCUUUAUUGAAAAAAAUGCAGAAAACUACAGCUGUAGGGUCCCUGCCUCUGGAAAAAAGGAAGGACCCCGGGAAAUGGUGGGCAAUCUUUCGAGAUGGGCGCAGGAGUGGAGCGAUUUCCUGACGAUUUCCAUGAGGUGAUUUUCAUCCGGCAGGUGUUUUCCUCGAGGCCGCGGGAAGAUGGACUAUGGCAUGUUUAAUUUGAAUAAAGUUGUCAAGCUAA